AGCUUUGCGCAGUAGCAGUAUCGUAGCCAAUGAGGUUUAUCCGAGGCGUGAUUAUUGCUAAUUGAAAACUUUUCCCAAUACCCCACCAUGACGACUUGAAAUAUAGUCGACACUGGUAAUUUUUGACAGUCUCUACAGAGC
rnacentral:snRNA from 1 species